UACGUAGGGGGCGAGCGUUGUCCGAAUUUACUGGGCGUAAAGCGCGUGUAGGCGGCUCUUUAAGUCAGUUGUGAAAUCUUGCGGCUCAACCGCAAAACUGCGACUGAAACUGGAGGGCUUGAGUUUGGGAGAGGAGAGUGGAAUUCCUGGUGUAGCGGUGAAAUGCGUAGAUAUCAGGAGGAACACCCGUGGCGAAGGCGGCUCUCUGGCCCAACACUGACGCUGAGACGCGAAAGCUAGGGGAGCGAACGGGAUUAGAUACCCUUGUAGUCC
rnacentral:rRNA from 1 species